rnacentral:misc_RNA from 1 species
UUUUUCAUCCUCUCAUUUGGAGAGGGACAUGGGCUGUCAUCAGUGACUGUCUGGAAUGCGGCGUGGUUGUGUUGUGAUAAGCACUGAUCGACCGACCACGACUGUUCUUGU